UCGUCCGUCAUGUGCUACCAACAAAGAUGCACGAAAAAUAGAGAAAAUCGACCGAACGGUAAAAGAAAUAAAUGCAGAAAGAAGAAACCAAGAUUUACGUGGUUCGGCAAUUGCCUACGUCCACGGGGAGAGCGAGAGAGAUGUAUUCCACUAUAUGAAGAAAUAGAAGUACAAGCUUACACCUUAUGUCUUCUCCGGAUAAAAAACCAAGAACCUUAUGGUGAAUCCCACCUUCUUGUUCCAACGAAAACUCCAAGAAAAUACCGAAAAAGCUUUUCGUAAAACCAAGAAGACCAAAUUAGAGAAGUAUAGAAACUCUAACCAAAUUCCUUUAUGCCGUUGCUUCGAAGAAUCCGAACCGCUCAGGCAAUUGGUUGAGAACCGCCGCUCCGCCGCCAACGUCAAUCCGUCGCAUGCGUGCUACCGCGCAUCUCUUUUUCUUGCUACCGUACGGCUAUAGGAAGCUGUGAAUUAAUUAGCCCGAUGCUAAUUAAAUUUCUACCACAUGACGCAUCGUACGGUUCACCCCAGCAUGAAUAUAUAGUGCUAAUUAACCCGGUCAAAAGUCAACCAAUGUUAAUUGGAGUCGGUUUGAGAAGUAUAAACCGAAUAUGGUUUUGAUGCAUGCAAUCCCAAUAUUAAUUAGAUUCAGCCUCAUCUCUUACACCAACGUGAAUCAACUUUAAGAAUUAAUAUAUUCCGUAGACCCGGUGCAUGGACAAAACCAAUAAAAAAGAAGGCAUAUCUUUAACAUUCUCCACCUUGACUUCUUUUUUACUUCAUUACUCUCUCUCAUCUUAUCGCCCCCUCUCCCUGAGGCAUUCAGUCAUUAGCAGUCAUGCAAAUUAGCCAAGUUUAGACAGUGUCUAAACUUAUCCGCUGUUACCGGCUUUGUCAUGAUGUCAGCUACAUUAUCCUUUGUGGAAACCUUUAUAAGCUGAAUUUCUCCAUCAUCCUCAUUAGUGAGCUCCCGUAAUUUGUGAUACUUGAUUUCUAUGUGCUUUGUCCUCCCAUGGUAAACUGGAUUCCUGGCGAGACAUAUAGCACUCUGACUAUCACAACCGAUAAUCAUUUUUUCCUGCAUGAUCCCGAGUUCACCAACCAAGCCUCUAAGCCAGACUGCUUCCUUAGCUGCUUCAAUUGCCGCCAUAUACUCCGCUUCUGUAGUUGACAAGGCUACAGUGCGCUGCAACGUAGAUUUCCAACUGAUAGGUCCGCCGCCCAGCAGAAAGACGUAACCUGUAAUAGACCUACGCUUGUCCAAAUCACCCGCAUAGUCGGAAUCUACAAACCCCUUCACUUCAUCAUUACCAGAAUCUUUCGAGUAGAGAAUACCUUUAUCUGAUGUGCCCUUCAGAUACCGCAAAAUCCACUUCACGGCCUCCCAGUGUUGUUUUCCUGGAUUCGACAUAUACCGACUGACAACACUAACUGCAUGUGAAAGAUCAGGCCUAGUGCAGAUCAUAGCAUACAUCAGGCAACCGACUGCACUAGCAUAUGGUAUCUUUGACAUAGAAGUAAUCUCCUCAUCCGUCUUGGGACACAUCUCCUCAGAAAGUUUGAAGUGUUGGGCUAAUGGAGUCUUGACCGCCUUCGCCUCUGACAUAUUAAAUUGCUUUAUAAUAGCUCGUAUAUAUGUCUUCUGCGAUAACCAUAACUUACCCUGUAUGCGGUCGCGUCUGAUCUCCAUACCUAGGAUUUUCCUAGCACCUCCUAGGUCCUUCAUGUCAAAUUCUCGGCUCAACUGAUCCUUUAAUUGUUGCACUUCAUUCGGAUUCUUAGCUGCUAUAAGCAUAUCGUCUACAUAUAGCAUAAGCAGAAUAAACGAACCAUCUUCAAGCCUCCGAUAGUAGACACAACUGUCAUAUAAACUUCUGCUAUAACCAUGCUCGAUCAUAAACCCGUCAAACCGCUUAUACCACUGCCUCGGUGCCUGCUUCAACCCGUAGAGAGAUCUUUUCAGUUUGCACACCAGAUUCUCCUUCCCCGGCUGAACAAAACCUUGAGGUUGUUCCAUAUAAAUUUCUUCUACUAGAUCCCCAUGAAGAAAUGCGGUUCGAACGUCAAGCUGCUGAAGCUCUAAAUCAAACAUAGCCACCAUAGCUAGAAGCAUCCUAAUUGACGCGUGUUUUACCACCGGUGAGAAAAUCUCAUUGAAAUCAACUCCCUUUACUUGCGCAUAGCCCUUGGCUACUAACCGCGCCUUGAAUUUUUCUGGUUCUCCAUCUGCACCCUGCUUCUUUUUGUAGAUCCACUUGCAACCGAUAGAUCUCUUCCCUUCCGGUAAUGGAAUCAGAUCCCAUGUCUGAUUCUUCUGUAGAGACUCCAUCUCUUCUGUCAUAGCCGCCAUCCAUCUGCCACUAUCUCUGUCCUGCAUCGCCUCCUGAUAGGAAGUGGGAUCAUCUGAUGUAAUUAAUAAGGCAUAAGAUACUAUAUCCUCCAACCUGUACCGUAAAGGUGGACGAAUCUGUCUCCUUUCCCUUCCUUUAGCGAUAGAGUAGGGCUCCUCCGAAGUGCUUUCAAUCGGAUCGCUUUGUGUACCAUGAUCAUCCUGAUAGUGGGGCUGCUCCACCUGAUCAUCUACACCCUCUUGCCGCUCCACCUGGAUCUGCGUAGUUUUUGACUGUUCUUCACGUUGAGCCUCCUGAUGAUCCUUACGCGGCAUAGCUUUUUCGUCAAAAACUACGUCCCUGCUAAUCACCUUCUUCUUGGCGAUAGGGUCCCACAGCUUGUAUCCUUUAACACCCAUAUCGUACCCAAGAAAUAUGCAGGGCUUUGACUUCGAAUCUAAUUUUGUGCGCUGAUUUUCCUGGAUAUGGACAUAAGCAGGACAACCAAAGACCCGUAAGGAGGAAUAAUCUGCAAGUUUACCUGUCCAUACUUCCUCCGGUGUUUUGAGUUCGAUUGCUGUGGCGGGAGAUCGAUUAAUAAUAUAGCACGCCAUAUCUACUGCUUCAGCCCAGAACUCCUUUGGCAAAUCUGCACAUAACCUCAUGGAUCUGGCACGUUCUAGCAAUGUCCGGUUCAUCCUUUCUGCUACCCCAUUCUGCUGUGCAGUACCUGGAACCGUGUAAUGACGUACAAUACCUUCAUCCUUGCAGAAUUUCUUAAACUCCCGAGAAGUGAACUCUCCACCAUUGUCCGUUCGAAGAACCUUGACCUGCUUCCCAGUUUGUUUCUCCACCUCAUUCUUCCAAUGUCUGAACUUUAUAAAUGCCUCAGACUUUUCCUUCAUGAAGAAUACCCAAACCUUACGGGAGAAAUCAUCGAUAAAUGUAAUAAAAUAUCGCGCACCACCUUUCGAAGUCACCGGAGCCGGUCCCCACACGUCCGCAUGGAUAUACUCAAGUAUACUUUUACUUUUAUGACUGGAGGUCCUGAAACUCAACCUUUUCUGUUUUCCAAAUAAACAAAAUUUGCAGAAAUUAAGUUUACAGGAUUUAAUACCUUUGAGUACUCCCCUUUUAUGCAGUUCCAACAUCCCUCUUUCACUCAUGUGGGCUAGUCUCAUGUGCCAGAGCUCCGUAUCAUCAGCAUCAUGAUCUUCUGAGGAUGUUACCGCAACGCCUCCAAUCACCGACUCGCCGAUCAGCCUGUACAGAUUCCCUUUCUUCUCUCCCUUCAUGACGACCAUGGCACCCUUUUUAACCUUGACGACUCCACCUGAAAUGCUAAUAGAACAGCCAGUAGAGUCAAGAGUACCAAGUGAUAUAAGAUUUAACCUGAGAUCCGGAAUGUGUCUCACAUCCGUUAACGUCCUCACCACACCAUCAAACAUCUUUAUUUUUACUGUUCCGAUACCGACCAUCUUGCAGCUAGUGCGAUUACCCAUCAUAACACUACUGCCUUCACAAGACUUAUAAGUAUCAAAUAAAGACCUGUUUGGAGACAUGUGAUAAGAACAACCAGAAUCUAAUAUCCAGUCACCGUGAGAGUCAGAAUCUGUUGUAACCGUCAAGACGUCCUGACCGGAAUCACUGGCUACGCUCGCCGUAUCUGCAGAGGAAUUCUGAUUUCGCAGCCAAGCCUUCCUCUUUUCGCAGUUCUUUUUCAUGUGGCCCUCUUUCUUACAGAAGUAACACUUCACCUUUUUCGAUUUUGACUUGGAACGGGAUCUUCCUUUACCUGCAUCACGUUCUCUUGAUCGUCCCCUUCCUCCACUUGUAUCAUUUACGACCAAACCUGCACUGCUUUCUUCGGUACUCGCCUGCAACCUGAUCUCUUCAGAUAAAAGUGUCGAUGUAACAUCUUCCAUCUUUAGAGUUUGCUUCCCGUACAGUAUGGUGGUCACCAAGUGAUUGUAGGACGACGGAAGUGAUGUAAGAAAAAUCAACGCCUUAUCGUCCUCGUCAACCUUGACAUUAAUGCUGAGCAAAUCCGCAAUAAUUUUAUUAAAGGUGUUCAAGUGUUCCGUUAUUGCCGUACCUUCCUUCAUGCGUAGCCCAUAUAAUUUUUGCUUUAGGUACAGCACGUUCGAGAGGCUUUUGGUCAUGUACAGCUUCUCUAGCUUGUUCCACAUGCCGACUGUAGUUUCUUCAUCCAUUACGUUAUACAUCACCUCAUCUGCUAGACACAAUAUAAUUGUAUUCACCGCCCGCAGAUCAAUAUCCUCCCAAUCUUCGUCGCUCAUCGAUGUCGGCUUUUUCGAUUUUCCGAGCAACGCCUUAUGAAGGCCCUGUUGAACCAGAAGGGCUUUCACUCUUCUCUGCCAGAGACCGAAGUUUCCUUUACCGUCAAAUUUCUCCACCUCAAACUUAGAAGACGAGACUUUCGACAUCUCUGAUGUAGCACGAACCUUACGCUCUGAUACCAUUUGUUGGGAACCGGAUGGAUCGUCCGUCAUGUGCUACCAACAAAGAUGCACGAAAAAUAGAGAAAAUCGACCGAACGGUAAAAGAAAUAAAUGCAGAAAGAAGAAACCAAGAUUUACGUGGUUCGGCAAUUGCCUACGUCCACGGGGAGAGCGAGAGAGAUGUAUUCCACUAUAUGAAGAAAUAGAAGUACAAGCUUACACCUUAUGUCUUCUCCGGAUAAAAAACCAAGAACCUUAUGGUGAAUCCCACCUUUCUUGUUCCAACGAAAACUCCAAGAAAAUACCGAAAAAGCUUUUCGUAAAACCAAGAAGACCAAAUUAGAGAAGUAUAGAAACUCUAACUAAAUUCCUUUAUGUCGUUGCUUCGAAGAAUCCGAACCGCUCAGACAAUUGGUCAAGAGCCGCCGCUCCGCCGCCGACCU
rnacentral:lncRNA from 1 species